UACGUAGGCAGCGAGCGUUGUUCGGAGUUACUGGGCGUAAAGAGUGCGUAGGCGGUUUUCUAAGUUUGGUGUGAAAUCUCCCGGCUUAACUGGGAGGGUGCGCCGAAAACUGGAAGGCUUGAGUAUGGGAGAGGUAAGCGGAAUUCCUGGUGUAGCAGUGAAAUGCGUAGAUAUCAGGAGGAACACCUGCGGUGUAGACGGCUUACUGGACCAUAACUGACGCUGAGGCACGAAAGCGUGGGUAGCAAACAGG
rnacentral:rRNA from 1 species